UCCCUGGAGGACGAGUGGUUAUGCCUCGGUGCUCUCACCGCCACGGCCCGGGUUCGAUUCCACGCCAGGGAG
rnacentral:tRNA from 1 species